GAUCAUGCUGCACCACAGACAGGUCUUUUCUCUGCAGAUCUCAACAUAUCUUGCAGGAGCAGCUGGUGUUUAGCAUUGCUGUUUUGUUGCUGUGCAAAGUGGCCUUGAGCAGAUUGAUACAGGACAAGAUUCACUCUAUCACAUAUACAUUUUAAAUCUUAUUUCUUAUUCAUCCCUACUUAUCAUCCUGAGGUCUGUGCAUGGGAAACUGCAAAUCUACGAGUGUGCCUGAUGGUAGUGAGGUAUAAAUCAUCACAAAACUGUCUGCUGCUUUAAUGUCCUGCUUCAAUUUUGGGAGUAUUUCUGGAGGAGGAGGCAGAAAGCAUUUUAUGUGCUUUGAAAUUUCAUGUUGGAACUGCAUACUGAAAAGCAACGCAUGUUUUUGGGAG
rnacentral:lncRNA from 1 species